GUUAAUUGUAGAGAUGUUAAAAUAUUUAGUUACUUGAAAGAUGAAAACUAACCUUUAAUUGAACUAGAUUAAAGAUGAAAAUUUCAAUAUGAUUUUACUAGUGACAGAGGGAAAAUUAGAGCAUAUAUCUUGAUCUCCUGCCCACCUCUUUGAUUGGUAUCGAAGACAUGGAGAUGUUGUUGUAUUCGAUACAUCAGAUAGGAUAAAUUUUAAUUUUAAUGAUAUGCCUUUUAGUAUUUUCGUAGGAGUGGAUAAAAAUGGAAGGACUAUGCACUUCUGCGCAAUGAAAUAACAAGAGCAUUUCAGUAGUUGAUGAAGGCUUCUGCCUCUUCAUUCGCCUCUAGUUGUCGACUUAAUGCUGCUGCAAAUCCUCCUCCUGCGAGGACUUCUUCUACCGACUUUGCUGCUGCAAUUCCUUCUGCCGUGACUUUGCUGGAAGUUUCUGCUUGCUUCUGUCGUGCCUUUUCUGCUCUAUUGUAGACAUUUCUUAUUAUACUAUCUUGGUUCUCAUCAAAGACAUUGAACAAACAUUGUUGCUGCUCUAUUGAUAAUUUCUUGAUGCAACAUUGUAUGGAGCCACAGAGUCAAGAGCAUGUUGUCUUUUGGAAUAGUGAAUUUUUUUUAGUCCUUCGCAAAUAUUGUUUUAAAAUUCAUUCUAUGUAUUUUCCAUUACACCAUAACUUUCAGGAGAAAUUGUUUCGUCCGGUGAAGAAGUUCAUGACAAAAACCACUGGUGCUUUUGUUGGAAGUCCUCCAAAGUCAAAGACAAAAGAACGUCCCUUGCAAUAGAGAAAGGAAGGUGGAAAAGAGUUGAGAAAACAAACAAGGACGUGGAGGUUAUGCAAGCAUGCUGGUCACAACAUCACCACUUGUCCAGGGAAGGAGAAUGUUAAAAGAGAGUGCUGGGAUCCCAAAGAAAGCUAAUAAGAGGAAGACAAAUGAUUUAGGACAUGAAGUCUUGGAUCCUGUUUUUUCUUCCUUGUAAAAAACCAACUACUGCAUCUUAAUAAAUGCAUGAGACAUUUUAGGUGACCGAAUUGUCAUCAGAUGGGUCAGG